rnacentral:rRNA from 1 species
CAAUUGGCCUUUAAUUGGGGUCGGGUAUGAAGGAAGGAAUUUAAGUGUAACUGUCUCAGAAGCAGUAUUUUAGUGAAUUUACUUAUUGGGUGAAAAUUCCCAAUUAUAAACAAAAGACGAGAAGACCCUUAGACUUUAUUCUAAAUAUAGUUAGUACUAUAUCAGGCUUUGUUGGGGCGACAGAAUGUCAUCUACUAAAACACAUUCAUAAAAUUGUGAGAUUUAACAAAUGUUAUUUCUUAUAGUUGAAGUACCUAAGGGAUAACAGCAUUAUUAAUUAAUUACAUUG